CCUACGGGAGGCAGCAGUGGGGAAUAUUGGACAAUGGGGGGAACCCUGAUCCAGCGACGCCGCGUGAGUGAAGAAGUAUUUCGGUAUGUAAAGCUCUAUCAGCAGGGACGAAAGAAAUGACGGUACCUGACUAAGAAGCCCCGGCUAACUAGGUGCCAGCAGCCGCGGUAAUACGUAGGGGGCAAGCGUUAUCCGGAUUUACUGGGGGUAAAGGGAGCGUAGGCGGCGAUGCAAGUCUGAAGUGAAAGGCGGGGGCCCAACCCCCGGACUGCUUUGGAAACUGGAUGGCUGGAGGGCAGGAGAGGUAAGUGGAAUUCCUAGUGUAGCGGUGAAAUGCUUAGAUAGUAGGAGGAACACCAGUGGCGAAGGCGGCUUACUGGACUGUAACUGACGUUGAGGCUCGAAAGCGUGGGGAGCGAACAGGAUUAGAUACCCUUGUAGUC
rnacentral:rRNA from 1 species